UUGCUUUUGAUGGGCGUCGACCGGCGCACGGGUGAGUAACGCGUGAGCGACUUGCCCGUCACAGGGAGAUAACCGGCGGAAACGGCGACUAAUAUCCCAUAUGAUCAGAUGCUGCAUGGCAUCGGAUUGAAAGAUUCAUCGGUGACGGAUAGGCUCGCGGGACAUUAGCUAGACGGCGGGGCAACGGCCCACCGUGGCGACGAUGUCUAGGGGUUCUGAGAGGAAGAUCCCCACACUGGAACUGAGACACGGUCCAGACUCC
rnacentral:rRNA from 1 species